rnacentral:tRNA from 1 species
CUCUCGGUAGCCAAGUUGGUUUAAGGCGCAAGACUGUAAAUCUUGAGAUCGGGCGUUCGACUCCGCCCCCGGGAGA